GGGCACAUGGUGUAGUUGGUUAUCACGCCCGCUUAGCAUCCCGCUCAAAGGUGUUGGAUUAAUGCGGGCGGUGCCCGGUUCAAUUCCGGGUGUGUCCA